CCUACGGGAGGCAGCAGUGGGGAAUAUUGCACAAUGGGGGAAACCCUGAUGCAGCGACGCCGCGUGAGUGAAGAAGUAUUUCGGUAUGUAAAGCUCUAUCAGCAGGAACGAGACAAGACGGUACCUGACUCAGACGCCCCGGCUAACUACGUGCCAGCAGCCGCGGUAAUACGUAGGGGGCAAGCGUUAUCCGGAAUCACUGGGUGUAAAGGGAGCGUAGACGGCUGAGCAAGCCUGAAGUGAAAGGCGGGGGCCCAACCCCCGGACUGCUUUGGGAACUGUACGGCUGGAGUGCAGGAGAGGUAAGUGGAAGUCCUAGUGUAGCGGUGAAAUGCGUAGAUAUUAGGAGGAACACCAGUGGCGAAGGCGGCUUACUGGACUGUAACUGACGUUGAAGCUCGAAAGCGUGGGGAGCAAACAGGAUUAGAUACCCCAGUAGUC
rnacentral:rRNA from 1 species